rnacentral:rRNA from 1 species
GAUGAACGCUGGCGGCGUGCCUAAUACAUGCAAGUCGAGCGAACGGACGAGAAGCUUGCUUCUCUGAUGUUGGCGGCGGACGGGUGAGUAACACGUGGAUAACCUACCUAUAAGACUGGGAUAACUUCGGGAAACCGGAGCUAAUACCGGAUAAUAUUUUGAACCGCAUGGUUCAAAAGUGAAAGACGGUCUUGCUGUCACUUAUAGAUGGAUCCGCGCUGCAUUAGCUAGUUGGUAAGGUAACGGCUUACCAAGGCAACGAUGCAUAGCCGACCUGAGAGGGUGAUCGGCCACACUGGAACUGAGACACGGUCCAGACUCCUACGGGAGGCAGCAGUAGGGAAUCUUCCGCAAUGGGCGAAAGCCUGACGGAGCAACGCCGCGUGAGUGAUGAAGGUCUUCGGAUCGUAAAACUCUGUUAUUAGGGAAGAACAUAUGUGUAAGUAACUGUGCACAUCUUGACGGUACCUAAUCAGAAAGCCACGGCUAACUACGUGCCAGCAGCCGCGGUAAUACGUAGGUGGCAAGCGUUAUCCGGAAUUAUUGGGCGUAAAGCGCGCGUAGGCGGUUUUUUAAGUCUGAUGUGAAAGCCCACGGCUCAACCGUGGAGGGUCAUUGGAAACUGGAAAACUUGAGUGCAGAAGAGGAAAGUGGAAUUCCAUGUGUAGCGGUGAAAUGCGCAGAGAUAUGGAGGAACACCAGUGGCGAAGGCGACUUUCUGGUCUGUAACUGACGCUGAUGUGCGAAAGCGUGGGGAUCAAACAGGAUUAGAUACCCUGGUAGUCCACGCCGUAAACGAUGAGUGCUAAGUGUUAGGGGGUUUCCGCCCCUUAGUGCUGCAGCUAACGCAUUAAGCACUCCGCCUGGGGAGUACGACCGCAAGGUUGAAACUCAAAGGAAUUGACGGGGACCCGCACAAGCGGUGGAGCAUGUGGUUUAAUUCGAAGCAACGUGAAGAACCUUACCAAAUCUUGACAUCCUUUGACAACUCUAGAGAUAGAGCCUUCCCCUUCGGGGGACAAAGUGACAGGUGGUGCAUGGUUGUCGUCAGCUCGUGUCGUGAGAUGUUGGGUUAAGUCCCGCAACGAGCGCAACCCUUAAGCUUAGUUGCCAUCAUUAAGUUGGGCACUCUAAGUUGACUGCCGGUGACAAACCGGAGGAAGGUGGGGAUGACGUCAAAUCAUCAUGCCCCUUAUGAUUUGGGCUACACACGUGCUACAAUGGACAAUACAAAGGGCAGCGAAACCGCGAGGUCAAGCAAAUCCCAUAAAGUUGUUCUCAGUUCGGAUUGUAGUCUGCAACUCGACUACAUGAAGCUGGAAUCGCUAGUAAUCGUAGAUCAGCAUGCUACGGUGAAUACGUUCCCGGGUAU